rnacentral:rRNA from 1 species
GAUGAACGCUGGCGGCGUGCCUAAUACAUGCAAGUCGAGCGAACAGAUGAGGAGCUUGCUCCUCUGACGUUAGCGGCGGACGGGUGAGUAACACGUGGAUAACCUACCUAUAAGACUGGGAUAACUUCGGGAAACCGGAGCUAAUACCGGAUAAUAUAUUGAACCGCAUGGUUCAAUAGUGAAAGACGGUUUUGCUGUCACUUAUAGAUGGAUCCGCGCCGCAUUAGCUAGUUGGUAAGGUAACGGCUUACCAAGGCAACGAUGCGUAGCCGACCUGAGAGGGCGAUCGGCCCCACUGGAACUGAGACACGGUCCAGACUCCUACGGGAGGCAGCAGUAGGGAAUCUUCCGCAAUGGGCGAAAGCCUGACGGAGCAACGCCGCGUGAGUGAUGAAGGUCUUCGGAUCGUAAAACUCUGUUAUUAGGGAAGAACAAAUGUGUAAGUAACUAUGCACGUCUUGACGGUACCUAAGCAGAAAGCCACGGCUAACUACGU